ACCAGGGUGGCCGAGUGGUUAAGGCGUUGGACUUAAGAUCCAAUGAGCAGCUGCUCUCGUGGGUUCGAACCCCACCCCUGGUA
rnacentral:tRNA from 1 species